UACGGAAGGGGCAAGCGUUGUUCGGAUUCAUUGGGCGUAAAGGGUGCGUAGGCGGCGCGGUAAGUCGGGUGUGAAAUCUCGGAGCUUAACUCCGAAACUGCAUUCGAUACUGCCGUGCUUGAGGACUGGAGAGGAGACUGGAAUUUACGGUGUAGCGGUGAAAUGCGUAGAGAUCAUGAGGAAGGCCAGUGGCGAAGGCGGGUCUCUGGACAGUUCCUGACACUGAGACACGAAGGCCAGGGGAGCAAACGGG
rnacentral:rRNA from 1 species